rnacentral:lncRNA from 1 species
AGCAUGCACAACUCUCUCAGGAAUUCUCUCUCGGUCAAAAUGAGCCAUUUCAUCAGUGAAAACCACAUCCUGAACAAGAAGGGGCCCACGGGGCCCUACUGUAAUAACAUUAAGUUUGUCUCCUACUGGGUUACCAGCUCCAGUGGUCAGGACAUCAGCUUUCUGCGCGGCCCGCUGCUCCUUCCAGUGCUGCAUCUGGUCGCUGGCGGGAUCCCGGCUGUCAGCCAUAGCGUGCGGUUUGCUGUGCAGAACACUGCAGGAGGCCUCGGCUCGUGGGUCUCCACCCU